rnacentral:rRNA from 1 species
UAUAAUGGGUCAGCGACUUAUAUUCUGUAGCAAGGUUAACCGUAUAGGGGAGCCGCAGGGAAACCGAGUCUUAACUGGGCGUUAAGUUGCAGGGUAUAGACCCGAAACCCGGUGAUCUAGCCAUGGGCAGGUUGAAGGUUGGGUAACACUAACUGGAGGACCGAACCGACUAAUGUUGAAAAAUUAGCGGAUGACUUGUGGCUGGGGGUGAAAGGCCAAUCAAACCGGGAGAUAGCUGGUUCUCCCCGAAAGCUAUUUAGGUAGCGCCUCGUGAACUCAUCUUCGGGGGUAGAGCACUGUUUCGGCUAGGGGGUCAUCCCGACUUACCAACCCGAUGCAAACUACGAAUACCGAAGAAUGUUAUCACGGGAGACACACGGCGGGUGCUAACGUCCGUCGUGAAGAGGGAAACAACCCAGACCGCCAGCUAAGGUCCCAAAGUCAUGGUUAAGUGGGAAACGAUGUGGGAAGGCACAGACAGCCAGGAUGUUGGCUUAGAAGCAGCCAUCAUUUAAAGAAAGCGUAAUAGCUCACUGGUCGAGUCGGCCUGCGCGGAAGAUGUAACGGGGCUAAACCAUGCACCGAAGCUGCGGCAGCGACACUAUGUGUUGUUGGGUAGGGGAGCGUU